rnacentral:snoRNA from 1 species
UGCAUGCCCCUUAGAUCCAUCUCUUUUUAUCUUGAGAGAUGCUUGAGUCAUAGGCAUGCAAUAAUAUGCAAUACCUUCUCUUUAAUCCAUCGUAGUAACAAAGUAAAUUUAUUUUACUAUUAUUAUAGUGUUACUAUAAUAUUGAAGAGAGGACAGA